GCCGCAAGCUCAGCUCCAUCGGACAGCGUGAUUUGGAUCACAUUGCAAACCAGAUUGUGGCCAAGCAACGUGAUGCCGCCAAGCAAACGGAUCCCCUUUUACAUUGCCAAGUAAAUGUGGAUCGCUGGAUCCCCCAGUUAAGAGAAAGUCUAAAACCAC